UUAACACUAUCCGGUAAUAAAAUAACACUGCCAUUGCUAGGCCAGUGUUAUAUCCACGACAGUGUCAGUGUAAAACAAGGGUGUUACCAGAUUUCACACUGAGCGGUGUAAAUCAAGCCACGCCUCCACUAAACAUAUCCUGUCAGGGAUUUUACCGCCAUUUUCUUUCAAAGGAGGACUGAAGAGAGCAGAUGCUAGUUUGGUGAAAGUACACACUGAGUGCUUCAAAUCAUUCAGAAGAGAUGUUGUUUUAAGGGCAGUUUAUUAAAGAAGACCUGACAUGGAUGACUUCCAAUGAGAAACGACUGCUAAUACUUAUAUAAAUUCAUUACAGAAGGACCCUACCAGACUAUAUUUGAAUACGGCAUACCCGUGAAUUCUGGAACUGUUAUUCCUUAACCCAGUUUGAAGUAUAAGAGCUUACCAACUAUAAAUAUGCUGAGGCGAUGUAUUGCCGAAUAGCCAACAUACAACAAUUAAAGGAUAAUUGCAGCCUAUAUCCUGAUGAAGAUAUGGAUGACCCUCUGUCUGGUCAACAAUAGUUUAAAUAUGGACGGGACAGUUAUGUGGCAGCUCUUCCCUGGCUCAUUCACCUCUUGCCUUCAUUUGUGAAAGGAGGAAAGACUGGAGAGGGUCAAUGUGCAACUGAAGCUACUGAUUGUGCUGUGUGAUGAGCAUCAAUCCGUGCUUUGAGGGGGAUGAAUCAGCACAGCCCUGCCUGCUCUGCGUUGGGAACAAAAGUUGCAUCCAGAAUUUUUGCAUCAUUCUGGACCAAAAAGCCAUUCCCUCCAUGAUGAAGACCACUGAUGCAGCCUUCCACUACAUCAUGAGUAAAACAACUACAGAACUAAAUACCAGGUUGGAACGUGUUUAAGAAAAAUGAAACGUCUUUUGAAUUGAAAUGUCUGUUUUGUUAUGGAAAAAUCUUUAGUAUUGUGAAGGAUAAGCAUUUCUGCUUGCCGAUAAGGUAAUUGCAUGUAUUUUAAUGUUCAAGUUUUGAGUAGGGUGGCUAAUUUUUUUAACUCUUAUUUGAUUUAUUAAAGACCUUUAUAAUAAGUGGUUUUAUGUCACUGCGCUGUGGUAUAAGAUAACUUUCAUUAUUCCAUACUGUAUUCUGUUUCUAAUUGUAGCUGAGGUAUUUAAAUAAGCAGUGUUAAAUGCAAAGUGUUGUGUGUAUCAAUGUAAAUAUUAAAUGUGAUUUACUUUAAUAAAAAGAGGUUUUGCAAUAUUUCUUGUCAUUUUUCUUUUAUAGAAACAACCCAUUAGCAACAAAAGUGGCUAU